CCGGGUAGACUCAGCCGCAGCAGCCCCUCCAUCCUGGAGGUGAGAGAGACGUACGGACGCUGGAGAUGAAAGAGACAAACUGAGCGAGGGACCGCAGUCUGAGAUGCAUGCAACAAAGAGACAAACGAUCAAAACGGCUUAACCCUUCCCUUACCUGCUGUUGGUCCGUCAGCUGUGAUCAAUGAACAUUAGGUCAUUUCAUCCAGCCAUUGAACCUGAACAAGAGAGCACAGAAUGUAUGUCAUGAAUACGCAAUGAACUUAUGAUGUGGGUGAUUUAUCCCUUCGCUGCACUGAGGACAAGUACUGGGGGAGAGACUGAUGAGGUAGGACUCUUGUGGGUUCUCACAGCUGCCGUGUACCUUCAGAGAGACAUGAAACACUAAGGGGGAAAAUAUGGUAUUUGUCAUUCUGCGAGCAGCAUCUUGUCAUAUCUACAAUGCCUUUGAAAGCUUUGUGUAGCAAGAACCUUUAAUAUUCAUGACUAUUAGAAUGGCAUCAAAUGGAACUAAAGUAGGCUACUUGUCAGUGCUGAUUAUUCUCAAACUAUUCAUUACGAAUUUUGAUCAGUCAUGGAAAUAAAACUGCUGAAAACAAA